CAGUGGGCGCGGGCGCGGGCGGCCGUCACGGCGGGAACGCGUCGUUUUGCGGUACAGUGAGAGUGGUGUGGCUGUGGAAGCAGUGGCAUGGUGCGGCGAGGCGAGGGCGAGUGCGGUCGAUGAGCCCGACGCAGAGGGCAGCACGGAGCCACGGCGGGGGGCUCCGCCGGCUCCCCCGCGCCCGUGCCAUCACCCCGUCUGCCUGCGCACUCGGCUCGCCCGCGCCGCGCGCUCACUAAUGCGUCAUACCGCCAUCGAGACUGACGCGGCCGUGCCGCCGCUACGACGCGACAGUUCGCGCCAUGUGAACUUCAGUGUUGACUUAUACGUAGAGCCUCAGGAUUCGCGGACUAAUUGAAAUCGGUCGUUUCUGAAACGCUAGCAAAUAUGGACAGUGACUUUGGUGGCUGUGAGCAGAGACAGAGUGGUGCAUCGAACCCACGCACGUGUUCAGGACUCUGCGACAUUUCUGAAAUGCGUUGCUACACCUGAAUACCCUGGUCACGCCAUAUGGAUGGAAAAACAUCAAGAACUUACAAACUUCGGGUAUGGAACUGCUGAUAGCAAAAAUUGACUAUUACGACAUAUUCUUAAACCAAUUCGAGCUCAUCGAUAUAAUCCGGAUCCUGUCGGCGCGCGCGCACGAGGAGAGCGAGGAGCCGGUGCUCAUCUAGACCGGACCACCGCCAUGGCCUUACCUCGCCACAGCGGGCGAGACUGGCGAGAGUUGCACGGCGCGACGCGGGCGUGCGGCGGCGCGGCGGCGGCGCGCGGGCGGCUCGCCCAGGUAGGUCCCGCUCGCUACCCUGACGCUACCCGCGCCCGGCCCGCCUCCGCGCCCCGAUAACUAACACCACCUCGCAGGUCGGAGAUGUCUCACCGAAAAAGCACAUUUACCCUAAGGUUAAGAUACCUACUUAUCGAACUACAUUUCCAUGAAUGUGAUAUUAUGCAAGUAAUCUAAAGUCAAAAGAAAUAAAUAAAAUAUUAAAUACCAA